GACGAACGCUGGCGGCGUGCUUAACACAUGCAAGUCGAGCGGUAAGGCCUUUCGGGGUACACGAGCGGCGAACGGGUGAGUAACACGUGGGUGAUCUGCCCUGCACUUCGGGAUAAGCCUGGGAAACUGGGUCUAAUACCGGAUAUGACCUCAGGUUGCAUGACUUGGGGUGGAAAGAUUUAUCGGUGCAGGAUGGGCCCGCGGCCUAUCAGCUUGUUGGUGGGGUAAUGGCCUACCAAGGCGACGACGGGUAGCCGACCUGAGAGGGUGACCGGCCACACUGGGACUGAGACACGGCCCAGACUCCUACGGGAGGCAGCAGUGGGGAAUAUUGCACAAUGGGCGAAAGCCUGAUGCAGCGACGCCGCGUGAGGGAUGACGGCCUUCGGGUUGUAAACCUCUUUCAGCAGGGACGAAGCGCA
rnacentral:rRNA from 1 species